UACGAAGGGGGCUAGCGUUGCUCGGAAUCACUGGGCGUAAAGGGUGCGUAGGCGGGUCUUUAAGUCAGGGGUGAAAUCCCGGAGCUCAACUCCGGAACUGCCUUUGAUACUGGGUGUCUUGAGUGUGAGAGAGGUAUGUGGAACUCCGAGUGUAGAGGUGAAAUUCGUAGAUAUCGGGAGGAACACCUGUGGCGAAGGCGGCUUUCUGGCCUGCUCUUGACGCUGAGGCGCGAAAGCUAGGGUAGCAAACGGG
rnacentral:rRNA from 1 species